rnacentral:rRNA from 1 species
CGCAUUGUAAUUUGCAGAGGAUGCUUCGGGAGUGGCCCCCAUCUAAGUGCUCUGGAACGGGCCGUCAUAGAGGGUGAGAAUCCCGUAUGGGAUGGGGUGUCCGCGACCAUGUGAAGCUCCUUCAACGAGUCGAGUUGUUUGGGAAUGCAGCUCUAAAUGGGUGGUAAAUUUCAUCUAAAGCUAAAUAUUGGCCGGAGACCGAUAGCGCACAAGUAGAGUGAUCGAAAGAUGAAAAGCACUUUGAAAAGAGAGUUAAAAAGCACGUGAAAUUGUUGAAAGGGAAGCGCUUGCGACCAGACUCGCCUACGGGGUUCAGCCGGUAUUCGUACCGGUGUACUUCCCCGUGGGCGGGCCAGCGUCGGUUUGGGCGGCCGGUCAAAGGCCCUCGGAAUGUAACGCCUCUCGGGGCGUCUUAUAGCCGAGGGUGCCAUGCGGCCAGCCCAGACCGAGGAACGCGCUUCGGCACGGACGCUGGCAUAAUGGUCGUAAGCGACCCGUCUUGAAACACGGACCAAGGAGUCUAACAUCUACGCGAGUGUUCGGGUGUCAAACCCGUGCGCGCAGUGAAAGCGAACGGAGGUGGGAACCCUUACGGGUGCACCAUC